GCCAGGUAUGGUGGUGCACGCCUGUAAUCCCAGUGACAGGGGAGGCUGAGGCAGGAGGGUCACAAGUUCAAGGACAGCCUCAGCGACUUAGUAAGACCCUGUCUCAA
rnacentral:sRNA from 1 species